rnacentral:rRNA from 1 species
CCUACGGGAGGCAGCAGUGGGGGAUAUUGCACAAUGGGGGGAACCCUGAUGCAGCGACGCCGCGUGGGUGAAGGAGCGUUUCGGCGCGUAAAGCCCUAUCGGCAGGGAAGAAGAUGACGGUACCUGGCCAAGAAGCCCCGGCUAACGACGUGCCAGCAGCCGCGGUAAGACGGAGGGGGCAAGCGUUAGCCGGAUUUACUGGGUGUCAAGGGGGCGCAGACGGCAAUGCAAGCCAGGAGUGAACGCCCGGGGCCCACCCCCGGGACUGCUCUUGGAACUGCAUGGCUGGAGUACAGGAGGGGCAGGCGGAAUUCCUAGUGUAGCGGUGCACUUCGUAGAUCUUAGGAGGAACCCCGGUGGCGAAGGCGGCCUGCUGGACUGUGCCUGCCGUUGCGGCCCGCAGGCGUGGUGAGCAAACAGGAUUCGAUACCCUGGUAGUC